GACGAACGCUGGCGGCGUGCUUAACACAUGCAAGUCGAACGGAAAGGCCCUGCUUUUGGGGGGUGCUCGAGUGGCGAACGGAUGAGUAGCACGUGGGUUACCUGCCCUUGCCUUUGGGAUAACUUCAGGAAACUGGGGCUAAUACCGGAUAGGAGCUCCUGCUGCAUGGUGGGGGUUGGAAAGUUUCGGCGGUUGGGGAGGGAAUCGCGGCUUAUCCACUUGUUGGUGGGGUAGUGGCUUACCAAGGCAUUGACGGGUAGCCGGCCUGAGAGGGUGACCGGCAACAUUGGGACUGUGAUACGGCCCAGACUCCUACGGGAGGCAGCAGUGGGGAAUAUUGCACAAUGGGCGGAAGCCUGAUGCAGCAACGCAGCGUGCGGGAUGACGGCGUUCGGGUUGUAAACCGCUUUCGCCUGUGACGAAGCGUGAGUGACGGUAAUGGGUAAAGAAGCACCGGCUAACUACGUG
rnacentral:rRNA from 1 species